rnacentral:rRNA from 1 species
UACGCAGGGUGCAAGCGUUAAUCGGAAUUACUGGGCGUAAAGCGUGCGCAGGCGGUUAUGCAAGACAGAUGUGAAAUCCCCGGGCUCAACCUGGGAACUGCAUUUGUGACUGCAUGGCUAGAGUACGGUAGAGGGGGAUGGAAUUCCGCGUGUAGCAGUGAAAUGCGUAGAUAUGCGGAGGAACACCGAUGGCGAAGGCAAUCCCCUGGACCUGUACUGACGCUCAUGCACGAAAGCGUGGGGAGCAAACAGG